UACGUAGGCAGCGAGCGUUGUUCGGAAUUACUGGGCGUAAAGAGUGUGUAGGCGGUGUUCCAAGUCUGGUGUGAAAUCUCCCGGCUUAACUGGGAGGGUGCGCCGGAAACUGGAAUGCUCGAGGGUGGGAGAGGUAAGCGGAAUUCCUGGUGUAACGGUGAAAUGCGUAGAUAUCAGGAGGAACACCUGUGGUGUAGACAGCUUACUGGACCACUUCUGACGCUGAGACACGAAAGCGUGGGUAGCAAACAGG
rnacentral:rRNA from 1 species